GAAAGCGACGGGAAGCGUAGAAGAAAGAAAGUCCAGUUGCCUUUUGAAAAAAAGCACCUUUGGGAACAGCUGAACUUCCUCUUCCGGAUCACUCAUGGGAGGAGAGUGGUGUGCAGAGCGGUUUUUUUGCUCUUCUCAUGAUCGAAGCAGCAGCUGGAAGACGACCAGGAGGGCAAUAAGAGCACUCUGGACAACUUAAAUAACAAUCAGUGGUGAAAAGGGAAGAAAAUCAAGGCAGAAAUCAAAAUAUUUUCCAUUUCCUGAAGAAAAUCAUACAAAUCUGCUCCUCCUCCAGCAGCUGACAAAAGAGAGAAAAUUGAGAAAGAAUAAGCAGAUUAUGCAGAACUCAAGGAUAAAUUGAAUGAGAGGUGAACGGAGAUUUUAUAUCAUUCAGCAAAAGAGGGAUAUUAUCUGGAAGUCCGUGGGGAGGAAAACAGACAGUAAUGCAGGCCUCUCUCUGUGAGGAAGAAGACGACUUAAAUGAAAGCACCACUAAACAAGACAUUGUCCAUAAUUUUGACCUCCUCAAGAAUAUCAACUGUGGAAAAGCUCCAUAGAUUUGCCUAUUAUGGGAAAAGCACAGAUUGCUUUUAGGACUGAUUAUGUCCUAGAGGGGCCAGAAAGGAGAAAAACCAUACAAAUUACCUGAAUGUGACCAAAACUAUGGUCACAACAGUUCCCUUGUGGUUCAUGGAAGUAUCACCACACAAGAGGGAAGUGCUCCCAAUGUAAAUGCUUUAGUGAGCAUGGCAACAUGGUGCUACAUCAGAUAACUCACAAGAGGGAGAAAACGUAUGACUGCAGAUUGUGAGAAAGUUACACUAGAAAUUCUCAGGUCUUGAGACACUAAAGGAUGCACACACAGGAAUAAAACCAUUUGAACAUCCUUUCUGUGGGAAAAGUUUCAGUGAGAAUUCCACUCUGGUGAAGCACCCAAGGACUCCCACAAAAGUGAAACCCUUUGAAUGUCAUGAUUGUGGGGG